AAGAGGGACUCAGAUCACCUGGAAUUAUGGCAAUGCAUUGCAAGGAUACUUCUGAAAAUCGGGUGUCACGGGAAGCUGAACUUUGCAUCCCAGUUCUGAAACAUACAGCAACCUCAUGGAGACAGAUGCAUCACUCGGCAUUUUGGGGUGGUAGCAAGUUCAGUGACCUGCCAGAUUUCUUAGCAUUAACUUGAAAGAGAAGACACUUGUUUGAUUUGAUUUGAUUUCUACUAGUCAAGUGGGCACCUGGAUUAAGCAGACUCUCCCCCAGGCACCCCAGAGGCCUCUGACAUCCCUUAUGUCCAGCCCAGACACGGCCUUUCUGUGGCCUCAGCGUAUCUGCCCAGUCCAAUCAGCUAUAGCCAGAAUAAAAAGAGGGAGGAAGAUCCAAGAGAGGGAAGGAGGCUUUCCCAGCUACUUUCCUGCUAACCAGGGCAGAGGCUGGUCUGCAUCCCCCUAUCCAGGUGGCCCCUGCAGUCAUGGCUUUUCUGCUUCUAGAAGCCAUCCCUGAAGAACAUCAUUGCAGAACUCAAAAUACAUUGCAUCAUACAAAAUGAAGUGGAGAAUUAAGGUAAUUAUCCAAUUAUUAAAAACCAUUUCUUAUUCGUUAGCUGGAGGCAGGAGGAGCGCUUGUACUAUAUAGGGUCUCUGGAAACACUUAAAGUUCAGAAAGACCCACAACCCCAAUCCAAGUUCUAGACAGAAGAGAGAGGGUGCAAAGGCAAAACCCUCCCCUUACUUUAUUCCACAUCAC
rnacentral:lncRNA from 1 species